GUCAGUUUGUCCGAGUGGUUAAGGAGUGAGACUUGAAAUCUCAUGGGCUCUGCCCGCACAGGUUCAAACCCUGUAGCUGACG
rnacentral:tRNA from 1 species